GCGAGCGUGGUGGAACUGGUAGACACGCCAGAUUUAGGUUCUGGUGCUUCGGCAUGGGGGUUCGACUCCCCCCUCCCGCA
rnacentral:tRNA from 1 species